CAUGCUAGUCGGACGAGUUUAGACUCGUGGCAGAUAGCUCAGUAACACGUGGCCAAGCUACCCUUCAGUCGGCAAUACCCUCGGGAAACUGAGGUUAACGGCCGAUGUGGGACGCCUGCUGGAAUGCAGCGUUCUCUAAAGGCGACGCUGAAGGAUGCGGCUGCGGCCGAUUAGGUUGACGGUGGGGUAACGGCCCACCGUGCCAGUAAUCGGUACGGGUGAUGAGAGUCAGAGCCCGGAGACGGAAUCUGAGACAAGAUUCCGGGCCCUACGGGGCGCAGCAGGCGCGAAACCUUUACACUGCACGGAAGUGCGAUAGGGGAAUCCCAAGUGCGAGGGCAUAUUCGCCCUCGCUUUUGUUGACCGUAAGGUGGUCAACGAAUAAGAGCUGGGCAAGACCGGUGCCAGCCGCCGCGGUAAUACCGGCAGCUCGAGUGAUGUCCAAUAUUAUUGGGCCUAAAGCGUCCGUAGCUGGCCGCGCAAGUCCGUCGGGAAAUCCACCUGCCCAACAGGUGGGCGUCCGGCGGAAACUGUGUGGCUUGGAACCGGAAGGCUCAGAGGGUACGUCCGGGGUAGGAGUGAAAUCCCGUAAUCCCGGACGGACCACCGAUGGCGAAAGCACUCUGAGAGGACGGCUUCGACAGUGAGGGACGAAAGCUAGGGUCUCAAACCGGAUUAGAUACCCGGGUAGUCCUAGCUGUAAACGAUGCUCGUUAGGUGUGGCACCCACUACGAGUGGGUGCUGUGCCGCAGGGAAGCCGCUAAACGAGCCGCCUGGGAAGUACGUCCGCAAGGAUGAAACUUAAAGGAAUUGGCGGGGGAGCACUACAACCGGAGGAGCCUGCGGUUUAAUUGGAUUCAACGCCGGA
rnacentral:rRNA from 1 species